rnacentral:misc_RNA from 1 species
GAUGAAGAACGCAGCGAAAUGCGAUAAGUAAUGUGGAUUGCAGAAUUCAGUGAAUCAUCGAAUCUUUGAACGCACAUUGCGCCCGCCAGCAUUCUGGCGGGCAUGCCUGUUCGAGCGUCAUUUCAACCCUCAAGCUCUGCUUGGUGUUGGGGCCCUACGGUUGACGUAGGCCCUUAAAGGUAGUGGCGGACCCUCUCGGAGCCUCCUUUGCGUAGUAACUAACGUCUCGCAUUGGGAUUCGGAGGGACUCUUGCCGUAAAACCCCCAAAUUUUCUAAUGGUUGACCUCGGAUCAGGUAGGAAUACCCGCUGAACUUAAGCAUAUCAAUAAGCGGAGGA